AAGAAGUUGGAAUGCUAGCUGCUUGUCUA
rnacentral:piRNA from 1 species